rnacentral:lncRNA from 1 species
CAGUGGUGUACGUUGCGAUAGCAGGCGACUCAUGGGACCGAAGCAACCUCUUCCAAGUACCAACACUCUACAUCAGAGUUUCACUUUUCUGGGUGCCAAGUGCAGUAAGCCAAAAUGAAGAACCUCAAGGCAAAAUUGAAGAGGAAUGAGGCUCUUCUCAGGUGGCUAAUUGUGUGUAGGUCCCCGUGCUGACAGACAGUGUGUGUGUGGGUAUCACUGAGCAGUAUCACUGAGCAGCAGGAGAGCAGUCCAAUCUGCUGUAACCA